rnacentral:rRNA from 1 species
UCGUCGUAUAGUCGGUCACUCAUUCGACCCGUCUUGAAACACGGACCAAGGAGUUUACGGUACACGCGAGAUAUUGAGUUUUACGAAACUCAAAAUCGUAAUGAAAGUAAAACUGUUUAAGCAGUUUAAACACGAUCGGCUAAUCAAUUCGUUGAUUGUCGCGCAGUGUUGCCCCAUUCUUCGGACUUGUCCUAGUGUGGAGGCUGAGCGUGUGCGGUGAGACCCGAAAGAUGGUGAACUAUGCCUGAACAGGAUGAAGCCAGAGGAAACUCUGGUGGAAGUCCGAAGCGGUUCUGACGUGCAAAUCGAUCGUCUGAUUUUGGUAUAGGGGCGAAAGACUAAUCGAACCAUCUAGUAGCUGGUUCCUUCCGA